rnacentral:siRNA from 1 species
UGGCGAUGCCUCCAGAUUUCAA